rnacentral:rRNA from 1 species
GAUGAACGCUGGCGGCGUGCUUAACACAUGCAAGUCGAACGGAAAGGCUCCUGCCUGCAGGGGUACUCGAGUGGCGAACGGGUGAGUAACACGUGGGUGAUCUGCCCUGUACUUCGGGAUAAGCUUGGGAAACUGGGUCUAAUACCGGAUAUGACACUCUCUUGGAUGGGGUUGUGGAAAGCUUUUGCGGUAUGGGAUGAGCUCGCGGCCUAUCAGCUUGUUGGUGGGGUAAUGGCCUACCAAGGCGUCGACGGGUAGCCGGCCUGAGAGGGUGUACGGCCACAUUGGGACUGAGAUACGGCCCAGACUCCUACGGGAGGCAGCAGUGGGGAAGAUUGCACAAUGGGCGCAAGCCUGAUGCAGCGACGCCGCGUGGGGGAUGACGGCCUUCGGGUUGUAAACUCCUUUCGCAACCGACGAAGCUUUUGUGACGGUAGGUUGAGAAGAAGCACCGGCUAACUACGUG